AUGGACUCGGCGGCGUCGCUCCUCGAGGCGUACCGCCGCGACCGGCGCCGCCUCCUGGGCUUCCUCCUCUCCUCCGCCGGCGGCCGCGCCGUCGACCUCNNNNNNNNNNNNNNNNNNNNNNNNNNNNNNNNNNNNNNNNNNNNNNNNNNNNNNNNNNGCGCGCAGUUCGACGCUUCGGAGGCCACUAGGAGAUACUUUGACGACAGGAGGUACCCGAUCAUGACGAGCUCGCCAUCAGGGAACUCAUAUUUUCUUCUUUCAAGGCCAGAAGGCUCUGGUUCUCCUCCAAAGAAAGUAGCACCAGACAUUGGACCCGAACCACCUGCAGAAGAGAACUCAAGUAGAGCAAGGAAACAUAGUGAUUCUUUUAAAGUAGCAGUUAACAUUCAGGGAGCAUCCUAUGUUCUGAAGGAUCUUAGUUUGACAAAUACGACUCCUCAGCAAGCCAAAGAAAUGGAUCUUCUUUCUCUAGGUUUACCUAGAUUAAAUGCAGAAUUGUCUGAUGAUGAUCUAAGAGAAACAGCUUAUGAGGUCCUUCUUGCUUCUCUAUUUGUCAGUGGAAAAAUGUACUUUGCUGAAGAGAAGAGAGAAAAGAAGCCUAAGUUCUUGAAGGGUUUGAGGUCCAAGACUGAAGGAUCUAAUUCAGCACCUCAGAUGGAAAAUUAUUAUACUCACCAUCUUGAUUUGAUCCGAGUACAAAUGGAGAUAUCAGAAUCUAUGGAUACAUUGGCUAAGAGAGCUUUAAGACGUAUUGGUUCGAAGAUGGUGCAGGGACAACUUGACGUGCCUUGCAUAUCACUACAGCUCUUAAGCUCUGUUGGCAAAUUUGAUUUCCCAACAGAAAGAUUGCGUGUACAAUGGCAGAGAAGACAGGCAAAUGUUCUAGAAGAAUUACUUCUGUUCUCAGCAUCUCGUGAGUGCAGUAUGAGUGAAACAUUGCGGAUAGUUCUCUCCAAGCUAAAAAAUACAGAGGACUGGGUUGUGAGUGUUCCUGAUGGGCGUAUUGAGGUCUUGACUAUUAUUGAAAGAUACAAUACAAGACUAUCUGCAGCUCCAAAGAAGUUUGGCCUUAAAGGCGAAACCUACCAUUGGACUCAGAGCUAUCAUUUUAAUUCUAGGCUAUAUGAGAAACUUCUCUCCAGCGUCUUCGAUAUUCUUGAAGAUGGACAACUUGUAGAGGAGGCUGAUGAAAUACUUGAAACAAUGAAGCUGACCUGGCCUAUAUUGGGCAUUACCCGAAAGUUGCAUGACGCCCUGUAUGCUUGGGUGCUUUUCCAGAAGUUUGCUCAAACUGGGGAAAUUCUUCUACUGAAACAGACAGACCUUCAGAUACAGAAACUAAAGUUACAUAGUAAUGUUAGAGAAGCAGAGCUGUAUAUAGAUAGCUUUGUUUGUUCUGUGGAAGGAUUUGGCAGCAAUGGCGCUCUAAAUUUGGUGGACAGUGCCCUUCUUAAAAUAAACAUGUGGUGCCAUAGACAACUGAAGAAUUAUCACUUAUACUUCAGUCAGGCUAACUGUUCAAUCUUCGAGAGCAUGCUGAACUUGGUAUUACUUUCGGCGGCAAAUCUUACUGAUGAUGAUGAGGAAGCCAUGCUCAUUGGGACCCCGCUUGGCAGUACACCAGAAUCUACGUUGAUCCACAUACUCGUUGUCAGAUCCAUUCAAACUGCAUAUAAGAAUGCCCUAAUUUCAGCAGAUGGCCAAUCAAAAGCAGAAUUUAAGCAUCCAUUGAUAUUGCUUGCAAGUGAGCUAAAGCUAUUAGUGGAGAAAGAGUGCUCUGCAUUCAGCCCAGUACUUCACAAAUAUUAUCCUGAAGCUGGAAGAGUAGCACUAACUGUCUUUCACCUACUUUAUGGCCAACAACUGGAGCUGUUCCUGGAAGGGAGUGAUCAUUCAGAAAACUUGAAAGAGAUACUUGGAGCAUCAAACAGCUUUGAGCUCUGUAUAGCUCAGAAACUUUACUCGAUGUACGGGGAAGCUGCUGGGUCUUCAUUGUCCAACUUCCUAAAACCAUACAUGAUAGAUCGUUUUUCUUCACCCAUCAUUCUUCAGUGGCUUCAUGCUCAACACGAGAAUGUUUUCGAGUGGACAAAGCGUACCAUUGAGAUUGAGGAUUGGGAGCCUCUGUCAGUUCACAGGAAACUAGCAACAUCUAUGGUUGAAGUCUUCCGGAUUGUGGAGGAGACUAUUGAUCAGUUUUUUAACUCAAGUCUACCUCUGGAUAUUGUCCACCUGCGGAGUCUGCUUAUAGGGAUCACUAGCAGCCUUCAAGUCUAUUUGCUUCACAUGGAAAAUCAACAAGUUUCUAGAGCUACCCUGCUUCCUGUUGCGCCAGUCUUGACACGUUAUGCGGAAUCAAUUAAUCCAUUUGCCAAAAGGAAACUUAUUGAGUCUGCAGUUCGUGAAGAAAAGGUGGCUAAUAAAUUGAACAAUUUGACAGUCCCAAAAUUAUGUGUGAAACUCAACACCCUUCAGUACAUUAGAGAUCAACUUGAUACCAUAGAAGAGGGCAUCAAACAAUCCUGGGUCGAUGUCCAGUCAGCUGUGGGAUUGUUAGACUAUUUGUCUUGUAUGACCAGUGAAGGAGCUACUUCAAAAAGUUCGCCUUCUGAUGAGUCGAUUGAUGAGUUAUUUACAAUAUUUGAUGAUGUGCGAAGGACUGCAGUGAAUAUAACUGACACAAUCUUGAACUUCAUUGGAACAAGGGCUGUAUUCUGGGAUAUGAGGGACUUGCUUCUUUUCUCCUUGUACCGUACUAGCGUUGAAAGUGCACGCAUGGAGAUUUUUAUCCCUACAAUUGAACAGGUUCUUGAUCAGGUAUGUGAUCUAAUCGUUGACGUGUUGAGAGACCGAGUUGUGCUGAGAGUUUUUCAAGCAUGCAUGGAAGGAUUCAUUUGGGUCCUACUGGAUGGAGGUCCAUCCCGCGCAUUUUUGGAGACAGAUGUGAACUUGAUGAAAGAUGAUCUGGCUAUGCUCGAGGAUCUUUUUAUAGCAGAAGGCCAAGGUUUACCAUCAGAUGUUAUUGAAAAGGAGGCUAAAUUAGCUCAGCAGAUUUUAGACCUCUAUGUGCUAAAGGCUGAUACAAUCAUUGAUUUGCUGAUGAAAGCAAGUGAACAUAUGUCACACCAUCCUGAACCCGCAACUGCUCGGAGAAGAAAUGUACAUGAUGUCCAUACCCUCCUUCGAGUUUUGUGCCAUAAAAAGGAUAAUGGUGCCUCCACAUUUUUGAAAAUCCAAUAUCAUCUUCCAAGGUCCUCAGACUAUGACGAUGUUCCUGUAAAGGAUGCACCAUCUAAAGUACCUAUAUUUUCAGACAUGCUGAAUAGGGGUGCUUCAUUUAAUUGGUCAGAAACUGGGCAGCAGAGUUUUAGGAUUAUGAAGAAGAAACUGCAAGAAGCUAGUUGGCAGUAA
rnacentral:rRNA from 1 species